UGACAUCAUGGUGCUUACAUAUAUUCUAAG
rnacentral:piRNA from 1 species